rnacentral:lncRNA from 1 species
AUUGGCAGAGCAAAAAGGGAACCAAGAUCUACCAGUUCAUUGGUAAACACUACUCUCUAGCUAUUGACAAGAAGAUGCCCUGAGAUUUUACGUCAAUUUCUUGAAGACAGAGACAGCCAAGUCUCUGCCUGAAAUUUAAAAGCUACUUGCGUCUUAGGGAAAAAAAAAAAAAAAAAAAAAACCAACUUUGUAGACAAAGCAAGCAAAGAAGAGCCUAAAGCAGCCUCCUCAACAUGAAAUAAUAUUUUAUAAAAAUGUUGUCAAUACAGAUGUGGUUUACAAAUAUAUUUUUGAGGGGUUUACUUUCUAGCUAUCUCACCAUGCAAGAGCAGCAUGGUUUCCUUAACUUUGGAACUUGCUUUAUGUAUCCACCAAUAGGUAUCACCUACUGGCCUAUGAGUGGCAUGAGCUAGGGCCUGUGGUAGAACAUACUCUGGCUAAUGUUUUAUAUCAUAUGAGAACAAAAGUCAAUGUGAGGUAGAUUCCUCUAUGGAAA